UACGGGGGGGGCAAGCGUUGUUCGGAAUUACUGGGCGUAAAGGGCGCGUAGGCGGCUUGACAAGUCAAAGGUGAAAUCCCUCGGCUCAACUGAGGAACUGCCUUUGAAACUGUCUGGCUUGAGGCCGGGAGGGGGUAGCGGAAUUCCCAGUGUAGCGGUGAAAUGCGUAGAUACUGGGAGGAACACCAGUGGCGAAGGCGGCUACCUGGACCGGUUCUGACGCUGAGGCGCGAAAGCGUGGGUAGCAAACAGG
rnacentral:rRNA from 1 species